rnacentral:tRNA from 1 species
UAGUGAAACGGAUAUCACAGCGGUCUUCGAAACCGCUAGUCCAGGUUCGAGUCCUGGCGGGGACA